rnacentral:tRNA from 1 species
GCCCGGGUGGCGAAAGUGGCAGCCGCGGCGGACUUAAAAUCCGCUGUCCCCUCGUGGGGCGUGGGGGUUCGAAUCCCUCCCCGGGCACCG